UACGUAGGGGGCAAGCGUUGUCCGGAAUCAUUGGGCGUAAAGAGCGUGUAGGCGGCCCGAUAAGUCCGCUGUGAAAGUCCAAGGCUCAACCUUGGGAUGCCGGUCGAUACUGCCGGACUAGAGUUCGGAAGAGGCGAGUGGAAUUCCCGGUGUAGCGGUGAAAUGCGCAGAUAUCGGGAGGAACACCUAUGGCGAAGGCAGCUCGCUGGGACGUUACUGACGCUGAGACGCGAAAGCGUGGGGAGCAAACAGG
rnacentral:rRNA from 1 species